UUGGAGGGCAAGUCUGGUGCCAGCAGCCGCGGUAAUUCCAGCUCCAAUAGCGUAUAUUAAAGUUGUUGCAGUUAAAAAGCUCGUAGUUGAAUUUCGGGAUCAAUUAGUCGGUCGUGCCACUGGUACGUACUGGUUUUAUUGGUUCCUCCCUUCUGACGAAACAUGAUGUCAUUAAUUUGGUGUCGUGGAGAAUCAGGACUGUUACCUUGAAAAAAUUAGAGUGUUUAUAGCAGGCUAACGCUUGAAUACAUUAGCAUGGAAUAAUGAAAUAGGACGUUCGACCCUAUUUUGUUGGUUUCUAGGAUCGACGUAAUGAUUAAUAGGGAUAGUUGGGGGCAUUAGUAUUCAAUUGUCAGAGGUGAAAUUCUUGGAUUUAUUGAAGACUAACUACUGCGAAAGCAUUUGCCAAGGAUGUUUUCAUUAAUCAAGAACGAAAGUUAGGGGAUCGAAGACGAUCAGAUACCGUCGUAGUCUUAACCAUAAACUAUGCCGACUAGGGAUCGGAUGAUGUUAAUUUUUUAAUGACUCAUUCGGCGCCUUACGGGAAAC
rnacentral:rRNA from 1 species